GACGAACGCUGGCGGCGUGCUUAACACAUGCAAGUCGAACGGAAAGGCCCUGCUUUUGUGGGGUGCUCGAGUGGCGAACGGGUGAGUAACACGUGAGUAACCUGCCCUUGACUUUGGGAUAACUUCAGGAAACUGGGGCUAAUACCGGAUAGGAGCUCCUGCUGCAUGGUGGGGGUUGGAAAGUUUCGGCGGUUGGGGAUGGACUCGCGGCUUAUCAGCUUGUUGGUGGGGUAGUGGCUUACCAAGGCUUUGACGGGUAGCCGGCCUGAGAGGGUGACCGGCCACAUUGGGACGGAGAUACGGCCCAGACUGCUACGGGAGGCAGGAGUGGGGAUAUUGCACAAUGGGCGGAAGCCUGAUGCAGCAACGCCGCGUGCGGGAUGACGGCCUUCGGGUUGUAAACCGCUUUCGCCUGUGACGAAGCGUGAGUGACGGUAAUGGGUAAAGAAGCACCGGCUAACUACGUG
rnacentral:rRNA from 1 species